rnacentral:rRNA from 1 species
GACGAACGCUGGCGGCGUGCUUAACACAUGCAAGUCGAGCGGUAAGGCCCUUUCGGGGGUACGACGAGCGGCGAACGGGUGAGUAACACGUGGGUGACCUGCCCUCAGCUCUGGGAUAAGCCUGGGAAACCGGGUCUAAUACUGGAUAUGACUCCAUGACGCAUGUUGUGGGGUGGAAAGCCUUGUGCGGCUGAGGAUGGGCCCGCGGCCUAUCAGCUUGUUGGUGGGGUGAUGGCCUACCAAGGCGACGACGGGUAGCCGGCCUGAGAGGGCGGCCGGCCACACUGGGACUGAGACACGGCCCAGACUCCUACGGGAGGCAGCAGUGGGGAAUCUUGCGCAAUGGGCGAAAGCCUGACGCAGCGACGCCGCGUGAGGGAUGACGGCCUGGUGUAACU